rnacentral:rRNA from 1 species
AGCGAACGCUGGCGGCAUGCUUAACACAUGCAAGUCGCACGGCCCGCAAGGGCAGUGGCGGACGGGUGAGUAACGCGUAGGUAUCUGUCUCCGGGUGGGGAUAACUGUGGGAACUACAGCUAAUACCGCAUGAAGCCUGAGGGCCAAAGGCGCAAGUCGCCUGGAGAGGAGCCUGCGUACGAUUAGCUUGUUGGCGGGGUAAAGGCCCACCAAGGCGACGACGUUAGCUGGUCUGAGAGGAUGAUCAGCCACACU